rnacentral:lncRNA from 1 species
GGUAUAAUCCCCUCCUGUCACGUCCAACGUUGCAUAGUCAGAAGCUUCGCCCUUGUAGUUGGUGCACACAGCACGGCACUGUCUCCAGACUGUCUAUAUUCAACCCAGUAUCCAAGAAUUUCUUUACCACCAUCACAUUCAGGUUUCUCCCACUGUAGAGUGACACUAUCUUUGGAUAUUGAAAGAAUCUCAAGUUCUCCUGGUUGGCUUGGUUUAUCUGAAAUAUUUUAAAAUAAUGAAAAGGGAGUCAGCUUUACUGGUGAAAUAAAAGGACCAAACAUGGCUUGCUUCUUUAAUUUAACCCCUUCUUCUGAAUUCCUUACCAAAUGGAUCUUUGCAAACAACUGGUUCAGAAGCAGGGCUGGUCUCACUCAGGCCAACAUCAUUCUGUGCGAUGAUGCGGAACUGAUACUCAGCAUCGGGAACAAGCCCUGUGACAGUGUACAUUGUGGUGGUGAUCUGAGUCUUGUUGUGUCUGACCCACUUGUCAGUGGAUGUCUCUUUGCGUUCGAUGUAGUAGCCUGUGACUCUAGAACCACCAUCAUCUUUGGGCCGGGACCAGGACAAGCUAACAGAACUCUUGGUUACAUCGAGUACUUCUGGAGGAUUGCUUGGAGGUUCUGGAGGAUCUGUAAAUAUAAGUGGAAAGCACACAUGUAUUAGAAUACAGUCCCAAGUAUUAUAAGCCAAUGACUUUCAUUUAAAAACAGAAAAGUGCUGAAAUAAUGUUUAUAAUUUUGUGGUUGAAAGGGCACUUACUCAAUGGUGUUUUUGGUGUGACUGGUUCCUCAGAUUUCAAGGGUUUGCUUAUGCCAAACUGGUUUUCUGCUGAAACACGGAAAUGGUAUUCUACAUUCUCUUUGAGGCCUUUUACCACCAGAGAUGUACCUCGGACUCUGGAAUCAAUGGUAUACCAGGCGGCUUUAGGCACUUCUCGUCUCUCGAGGAUGUAGCCUAAGAUGUCAGCACCACCAUCAUCAGCAGGAGGUCUCCAGCUGACCCUCACAGAGCGGACUUGGAUGUCAUCAUAUUCCAGUGGCCCUUCUGGACUGUUGGGACUUCCUAUCACCCUGACCUUGAUGUAGACAGCCUUCUUGCCACAUUUAUUUUCCAGAACCAGGUCAUAAGUGCCAGAAUCACCCCUGUCUGCUUCUUUGAUCACAAGCUCAGUGUGUGUUUCAGAUGUUGCAAUCAUGGCACGCUUACUAAUAUCCUGGCCUUCCUUGGUCCAUUUACAUAUUGGGAAUGGUUUUCCUUUGAUUGGUAUGGUAAG